UCCCCCAUUCCCUAAAAAAAAGCACGCCACAGAUGUUGUAUAGAAAAAAAAGAACAUAUCUUUUCUCCCCACCACUUAUCUCCGCUGAUUCAUCUCUCCCAUCGGCAUGGAUCCCCUAACCUCUCUCCUCCGAUCCUCCCCUGUGGAGACGUUCUCCAUGCCUCUCUAUGCGCCCCCGCAUCCAUGGGUCUCCGUCGCCAGCGUGGCUCCGCGCCUCAUCUGGUGUGGCUGCACAGCGUCUUCGCACGCGCGGGAGAUGAAUUGCGCUCGAUGGUGCUGAUCCGCCUCGGCUACAUCGACUUCGACGCCGACGGUUCGGUAAGGCACUCCUCCCAUCUUCUCUUAUCCUUCCAGCCGCUGCCCACCUACAUGGCCGCCGCACCUCAUGCACGAGUCCGAAGGCGCAACGCGCACUACACACACCGCCUACGUGCCCCUUCCCUGGCGUCUUUGUGAUGCUCGACGCCACCGCCCGACCCUCUGCCACGGCAGGUAGCCGAUGCCUUUCCCCCAAGCGCUGCCUCGGCGCCCCUCUCCUGGCCUCGGUAGGAUUCUUGAUUGUGCCUCCAUCAUCUCUGUGAACGCUCGUCGCUAUUGUGCGUUCGUCUCGUGGUUAAAAUAAUUGUACAUCUUCUCUGCCUAUUUGGUAUGUAAGUAGUGUGUUUUCCUCUUCUAGUUGAUAUGCAAGUAAUGUGUGCUCAUUGGAAGUUAAUGUCAUACAGGAAAGAGGGAAGCACCACAAUGAACUGCAGUCGAGUUCGAGGAAUAAUUGUUCUUAUAAUGCAAUUUGGGCUCUGUUAAUUGGUGAAUUCUAUUUUAGAAGUCCACUUUUAUAGGGAAAAAGGGUGCUGUUCAAAGAAUUAGGUAGCUUGCCUGAAUUCUUCUUGUGGGAGUUGUGCAGAAUCCAGGACAAUUUGUCUCCCCAUAACCACUUUGGUGUCCUCUUAUGGAACAAGUUAUACACCACUCUGCUGGCUUAGUAAAUACAAAACCCCGACAAGACCCUCUUUAUGGUAUCUCUAAUUCGGAUCCACGCUCAAGAAGGAAUACAGAUGGCCCAGAUAAUUGAAUGGUCCAUGGCUAAGUUGUUAAUUGCAAGGUGGAGAAUGAGUGUCUAAGUUGUUGAUGCAAGGUGGAGAAUGAGGGUCAAGUUGUUGAUUGCAAGGUGGAGAAUGGGGGCUAAGUUGUUGAUUGCAAGGUGGAGAAUGAGGCCAAGUUGUUGAUUGCAAAGUGGUGAAUGGGGGACAAGUUGUCUACUACCAAAUAGUUUUACAUUCAAAUUGUAGAACAUGAAUUUCAUGGUCAAUGUAUAUGAAUCAUUGGAUUGUGCUCCAUGUAAUGCAUCCGGCAUGAUUUAAUAAAGAGAUCUUUCCGUUUA